UACAGAGGUCCCAAGCGUUGUUCGGAUUCAUUGGGCGUAAAGGGUGCGUAGGCGGCGCGGUAAGUCGGGUGUGAAAUCUCGGGGCUUAACUCCGAAACUGCAUUCGAUACUGCCGUGCUUGAGGACUGGAGAGGAGACUGGAAUUUACGGUGUAGCGGUGAAAUGCGUAGAUAUCGUAAGGAAGACCAGUGGCGAAGGCGGGUCUCUGGACAGUUCCUGACGCUGAGGAGCGAAAGUGUGGGGAGCGAACAGG
rnacentral:rRNA from 1 species